GAUGAAGAACGUAGCGAAAUGCGAUAAGUAAUGUGAAUUGCAGAAUUCAGUGAAUCAUCGAAUCUUUGAACGCACAUUGCGCCCCCUGGUAUUCGGGGGGGCAUGCCUGUCCGAGCGUCAUUACAACCCUCAAGCUCAGCUUGGUAUUGGGCCCCGCCGACCCGGCGGGCCCUAAAGUCAGUGGCGGUGCCGUCCGGCUCCGAGCGUAGUAAUUCUUCUCGCUCUGGAGGUCCGGUCGUGUGCUCGCCAGCAACCCCCAAUUUUUUUCAGGUUGACCUCGGAUCAGGUAGGGAUACCCGCUGAACUUAAGCAUAUCAAUAAGCGGAGGA
rnacentral:misc_RNA from 1 species